UUGGCGGGAGUACCACGUGAACCCAGAACCAGGGCCCCCAUUGGAGCCGGAGUAGCUGAGUCUGGGGUGGACUUUGGCCCGUAGUAGAGAAACCCAGGUCGCCUGUCCUCCCAGGAGACCCCUUAGCACCCUGGCCUUGGAAUGGCUGGAUCAGGUUCCUGCACUGAUUCACCCAGAUAAAUACUGUGGAAAGCCAGCUCUCCGAUGCCAGGGCUGAGAUGAGCGCCAUCUUG